GUAUAUAACAUCCUGCCAUGCGAGUUUAGGUGGUUAACGUAUUCUUGGACACUCAAAUUCCCACCCCCCCCCCACCCCCACCAAUUUUUGGUUACUAUAUUAUGGCAACUGUGAGCAGAUUCCUGCCUUUUUAAGAGACACUACCGAUAUCUUAUUCCCUCAUCUUACGAUUCCAAUGUAGGCAUUAUAGUGUUUUAGAAAUGAAAGGACUGGGGUUCAAGGAGGGUAAGGAAUUGUCCCAAAGGCAGAGCCAGGUUUGGAGCCCAGGUCCUGCUAACUCCUAAGCCAGCCCUACCUAUUAUCACAUCUUGGGUGUGCUGGACUCUUAUGUUCGCCGUGUUGUGUUUUCUGUCUUUACAGAGCAUCGGGGCCUAUGAUGGAAGAAUGUUCUGGUACUCUCCUUUGCCAAAAUCUUAAUCCUCAUCUCUCUCCUUUCAUGUUCCCAUGGACACCUUGAACCCUUAGUCAGACGGAAGCCUUUCCAACGAGACCCUCUCCAUUGGAAAGCGGCCCGGCCGCUGCGCUGCCGCCGUUGACAGCUCCCAACUGCUGCGGCAACCUGAUUUUGUUCCGGGAUGACGUGCCCAGACCAGGGAUUCUACCGACUCGGGUCUAAGCCCUUCACAGCCAUCUCAGCUCCAGCACUAGGCAGUCUUGCUCCUGGCUGCCAACAAGGCUGGUCAGUGAGAUUAAAGGAGGACAGGGAGCAGACAGUCCUCAGCGUGGAGUGAUGGGAUGGACUUCAGAUGAGAGCAGGUACACGCCUGGCAUGGUGUCCCGGCACUGAGGGAGGCUACAGCAGACUGUUCUCCAGAAAGAGCCCUGCACUCCCUGACGAGGAGGCGGCGAGCCCUUGAUUGCCACUGCCUGUGCAGGCGCCCCCGGCCACACCGCCCUGCCUUCCAGUAUCUGGGCUGCCCACAGGUCUAUCGGUCUGACUCUAACUAGCUCUGUGGUUCGGGUGAAGUCAUUUCUCUUCG
rnacentral:lncRNA from 1 species